UCGCUACAACGUGUUUCCAAUGGGGACAGCAAUGCUUAACUUCAGUGUUUAUGGACGAGCUUGGGAAUUCUGUGUUGGCCUUUUCCUGGAGGGUUGGGCCUUGUCUAUAAUGAGUGAUUUCUUUGGUUGAGACGUGUGUUUGGAGACCUGGCGGUGGUACAAGGAACCCUAAAAAAUUCCUGGAUCUUGGAGCUUUCUAGAAACUUUUGGAUGGACCAAUUCAAAGCUCUCCCCUUUUCUUAAUUCGUAGAAACCCUAAUAGGAGGAACCCUAAAGCUAGCAUUUGCAUUUUUCCUAUCCUACAUUUGAUCAGGCUCUCUGCAGGGAAUGUCAUGAGCUACCAUCGAUCAAUCAACCCUCGGUCAGUACUGGAGGAACAUCCACUUCAAGAGAAUGCCUGUCGAAAAGCUCAAAGAACAACCAACCGAUCGAUCUCUCGAUCGCGAGAAAAGCGAGAAAAAGCUAACCUUCCCAGCGCGUCGCCUCGGAGCUCACCGCGAUCCCGGUCACCAGUCGCGCCGCCGCCGUGGCGCUGUGCUUGGGCACCAUGGACGAAAUCCCCCUGUGGAUCCUGGAAACAAAAUCUCCUUUGUGCUCGAUCGAUCGAAUCCAUGCACUGGAAAUUCACCUGAUCCUGGCGCUCGCCUGCCCCUCCGGCGAUGGGAUCGCGAUCGAUCGCCGCAGUGGCCGCGCGCCUGGAAUCCCGAGCUGGGGAAGCCUCCUCAAUUCUAGCCGCCUCAUCACUCUUGCCGCCAUCGCUUUUCUUCUAUAGAGCUUAUAAACCCU
rnacentral:lncRNA from 1 species